UACAGAGGGGGCAAGCGUUGUUCGGAAUUACUGGGCGUAAAGGGCGCGUAGGCGGCCUUCUAAGUCAGACGUGAAAUCCCCGGGCUCAACCCGGGAACUGCGUCUGAUACUGGAGGGCUUGAAUCCGGGAGAGGGAUGUGGAAUUCCUGGUGUAGCAGUGAAAUGCGUAGAUAUCAGGAGGAACACCGAUGGCGAAGGCAGGUCUCUGGGCUGACACUGACGCUCAUGCACGAAAGCGUGGGGAGCAAACAGG
rnacentral:rRNA from 1 species